GUAGGGGGCUAGCGUUGUCCGGAAUCAUUGGGCGUAAAGAGCGCGUAGGCGGCCAGAUAAGUCCGGUGUGAAAGUCAAAGGCUCAACCUUUGAAUGCCGCUGGAAACUGUCUGGCUAGAGUCCGGGAGGGGCGAGUGGAAUUCCUGGUGUAGCGGUGAAAUGCGCAGAUAUCAGGAGGAACACCAAUGGCGAAGGCAGCUCGCUGGAACGGUACUGACGCUGAGGCGCGAAAGCGUGGGGAGCAAACAGGAUUAGAUACCCUGGUAGUCCACGCUGUAAACGAUGGGCACUAGGUGUGGGAGGUGUCGACUCCUCCCGUGCCGAAGCUAACGCAUUAAGUGCCCCGCCUGGGGAGUACGGCCGCAAGGCUAAA
rnacentral:rRNA from 1 species